GACGAACGCUGGCGGCGUGCUUAACACAUGCAAGUCGAACGGAAAGGCCCCCUUGUGGGGUACUCGAGGGGCGAACGGGUGAGUAACACGUGAGUAACCUACCCUUGACUUUGGGAUAACUUCAGGAAACUGGGGCUAAUACCGGAUAGGAGCUCCUGCUGCAUGGUGGGGGUUGGUAAGUUUAGGCGGUUGGGGAUGGACUCGCGGCUUAUCAGCUUGUUGGUGGGGUAGUGGGUCACCAAGGCUUUGACGGGUAGCCGGCCUGAGAGGGUGACCGGCCACCUUGGGACUGAGAUACGGCCCAGACUCCUACGGGAGGCAGCAGUGGGGAAUAUUGCACAAUGGGCGGAAGCCUGAUGCAGCAACGCCGCGUGCGGGAUGACGGCCUUCGGGUUGUAAACCGCUUUCGCCUGUGACGAAGCGUGAGUGACGGUAAUGGGUAAAGAAGCACCGGCUAACUACGUG
rnacentral:rRNA from 1 species